rnacentral:rRNA from 1 species
GACGAACGCUGGCGGCGUGCCUAAUACAUGCAAGUAGAACGCAGUUGCGAACGGGUGCGUAACGCGUAGUAAACCUGCCUUAUAGCGGCGGAUAACUAUUGGAAACGAUAGCUAAUACCGCAUACUGUGAGAUGGACCUGUGUUGUAUGAGCUAGUUGGUGAGGUAAAGGCUCACCAAGGCGACGAUACAUAGCCGACCUGAGAGGGUGAUCGGCCACACUGGGACUGAGACACGGCCCAGACUCCUACGGGAGGCAGCAGUAGGGAAUCUUCGGCAAUGGACGAAAGUCUGACCGAGCAACGCCGCGUGAGUGAAGAAGGUCUUCGGAUUGUAAAACACUGUUGUUAGGGAAGCGGUACCUAAAGAGAAAGCACCGGCUAACUACGUGCCAGCAGCCGCGGUAAUAC